GCGGGUGUGGUUCAAUGGUAGAACUCCAGCCUUCCAAGCUGGAAGUGCGGGUUCGAUUCCCGCCACCCGCUCCA
rnacentral:tRNA from 1 species